rnacentral:lncRNA from 1 species
CGGAUUAAAAUAAAGAAUCUUAUCCCUCUGAAGUGGCAGUAGAGUAGAUUACAUCCAAGUCAGAACACUCUGAAGUGCAGUGGAGUGGAUCGAAGCAACAAGACAUAGUGGACUGGAAGGAGGCUAUUUGAAGAAAAGAAGCACUAGAAGAAGUCAAGAUUCGGCAAGACCGGGCAAAAUUGGCCUUUCUUGGUCUUUGCCCUGUUCUCGUUACACGACAACGAGCAAAGAGGGGCAGCUGUUACAGGCCAUUUUGCCCGAGGCCCAAUUAAACACAAAAAUAAAGGUCCAAAUUACAGCCCAUAAAGUCCAAAACAACAAGCUCAGAACCACUAGCCCAAUAACCCAAUAGCCUACCCUUAGCCCAAUAACCCAAUAGCCUACCCUCAGCCCAAAACCCAAAACAAAAAAACCUAGCAGAAAACAGAGGAGCCCUAGGCGCCGCUCCUAGGGUCUUCUGACCUUCGGUCUUCUGCUCACCUGCUCUGCCAGCAACCACCGC